rnacentral:lncRNA from 1 species
GGCUUAUUUCACAUUUAAUGCCUUGUAGGAAAAAGAUAGCCCAAGUUGAACAGAUGAGAAAGUUCGGUCGUCUUGAAAAGCGAAGAACCCAUGUCCUCAGCUGUUCGGAUCUUCAGGCUGUUCGCCAGUUGCGAGGAGUGGUGUCGGAGGGCAGUUCUGAAAUGAGAGAGAAGCAUUUAUAAAAGGAAAGACGUGUUCCAGGUGCUGUUUGUUUCAUUUGAGUCCAGUCUCUAAGAAUAAGUAAUGAACUCAUCUUGGGGAUCAGCCAGAGCCUACAACUCUGAGACGACCCGUAAAGCCCUUUCCCUUUCCUUCUGGUUCUGGAAGGGAUUCUGUAGUUCAAAGGGACAGAAGAGUUCCUUUCGGGUCACCCCUUGGACUGCCUCUUCCCAGCCCCCUGUGGUGGAGGAGGACGCAUAGGUCAUUGAAUUCCGUCUGUUUGUCUACACCCGCUCUUUCACCGCAGGCAAGUCAAGGGAUUGAUCCCCCUCCAUCCUGUAACCCCUCUUUUUAUCCUGCAAAUCACCUUUCACAUCUGAUGCUCCAGAAGCUCGGUGAGGU